GGGAGAUGGGGAUGCAUCUAUUGAAAUUCUGCCACAUGGUAGAUGGGGCUGUCUUUGAAGAUGAACAUAUUUGAGGUCAAUCUCACUGCCCCUGCCCCAAUCUCACCCUCCAGCGUUUUGAUCCAAGUGCCCACAGUUCUGAUGAAUGUCAAAGGCAAGCUUGAGGAGGGAAGAGGAAAUGAUUAGUCCUUUACACUCCAGGUCAACUCACUAAGGAUGAAUUCUCCAAAUGAUCAGCCGGAUUUUCAAAUGGUGUCAGAAGCGGUAUCCGAAGUGGAGCUUCUAGCGACCACUAGGAGGGCUGAGUGAACAUGCAAGGUACCUGCAGGACCCACUUGUCUCAGAUUUUGGAGCUCCAUGGAUUUGUGUUUUGAGCUCUCUGAGUUUCUUUGAACAAAUUUCUGAUCCAAACUGGGUUUGGAGUCACAACAGGAACUGGACUGGGUCCAGGAAUGGAUUUGAUCCAGAAAUUAACUGACUUGGAUCAAGUUAGAGGCCUCUUACAUCUGACUGGGUGAGAAAGGAACAGGUGUUAAGCAGUAAUAUUACAGGGGUUAUAAAAUUUGGCUUUUGAACAUUCACAGGGAUUUUUAUGUUACAUCCCUUUGUUUCAUUUUUCUUGCACGCUUAGGCAGGGGAAAAAAUCAUUGGCUAAGUUAAUCAAGGGAACCUGAGCAUAAAGCCAAUAUUUGAGGUAAAAAUGGGAUCCUUAAUUUCUGGAAAACCGAGUUCCUUCUGGCUUAUACUUUAGGCCUGGGAGGCAGUGAAGUCUUACAGAAACAGCAAAAUCUUAGCAAAGAUACCUUACAGUGGAACAUUCCCAAAGAACAACCAUGCAUUGAAGUACAUGUAAAAAAUGAGGGCUCUUGGUAAAGUCCCUUUUAGCUAAGAAAGUGUUUGGCACUCCAGCAUGUCAAUUGCUAUUCUCUUUGGCAUAAUCUGCCUUGCACUCUUUGCUGAUGGCUGUGGGUGACAGGAUUAGGCAUGUACAGGAUCGUGGGACAUGGGGACCUUUUUCCUCCCUAAAAGGGGAAACUUUAGAGAUGAUGGGACUGUUGGAAAAGAUCCAUCUGGUACCAAGAAGCAGCAGCCUGAAAUUUUCAGUGUCGCUGCAAUAGGUGGGUCUUUCUGUGGCCUCCCUGAUCAUUUCACCUUCCCCACCAUGCCACAGGCAAUGCUUUUCUCUCUCUCCUUUCUCUUUCUUAUGUUUUCUAUUACUCAGGGCGACCACCUUGCCCAGAGACCACAGGUUGAAACUCCUGGUCAGAGAUUGGAUUAACACAAUGAUGGGGCCCAGCCAGGAGCAAAUUUGAGCCUUGCCGGUUUGACAUUGGGUGCCAAUCAGAGUGGCCAAUGUCUAAGUUUUUGUCACACAUAUUUUACUCUGGCCAGGACAAAAAAAAGAUAAUUUUCCUUUAUGAUGUGGCUUUGCCCCAGCGCGAUGGUGUGGCAAGCUGAGUCACUAGGGGCGCUCAGGGAAAGUGUACCCAGAAGCCUGGCAUCCUGGCAAAAAGGUAAGAACUUCUUAUCAGUUAGAUUUUGGGCUUCUCUCUUUCUCUGUGCAAAUGGUUGAAUGAAUGGUAAAAAUUACUGUUUAUCUCCAUUUUGUUUUACGUCCUUGGGAGCUUGACCUUGUAACCACGUGGCGGUACUUUCUCUUGGUCUCUGCCUUCCAGGGAACAGGAAUUUUAGGGCUUAUGUCAUAGUUAGCUCUAAAAAUUAUCUUGAGUAGCUAAAAGCCUUUGCAAGCUCAAAAUUAACUACUCUAGAUUCCUCCUGGGAGAGCCAAUAAAGAUUGCCCCAUGUUGUAGCUCAGUAGCUAAGGCUUUGCUCUUUCAUACUGGUGGUUUGGGUUCAAUUCCCUGCCUAUGAAGUAAGCUGUGUUUAGUUUAAUAUUUGUAUGACCUUGUCUAGUCUCUUCUCCACGUACUAUCUAAUUUUCCUUUCUCUGAGCACCUGGGAGGUUACCUUUGGUAGAGUUCAAAGCCAGAAAUACCAGCCAUUUGGCCUGGGUAAAAUUGAGUAAUAAAAAAUUUUAAAAGGACUUUAUUAAAGAGUGCUAUGGUUAAAAGUCAGCUUAAUUAAAAGUGGAUAUUGAAGCCCUAACUGCCUGGACUUCUUGGGAAAAACAGAAGGCACCAGAAAUCCCUUUCUGGCUCUGUUCUUCCAAGGGCUCCACCCAAAAGCCAAUAACCAGUUAAGAAACAUAAAAACUGGCAAAAUAAAAAAUCUUACAACUACUGUGGUAA
rnacentral:lncRNA from 1 species